rnacentral:tRNA from 1 species
AAACCUAUAAGUUAAAGGAAAACUACUAACCUUCAAAGUUAGAAACGCCAUGCUAGGUUUGC